UGGCUCAGGACGAACGCUGGCGGCGUGCUUAACACAUGCAAGUCGAACGAUGAAGCCCUUCGGGGUGGAUUAGUGGCGAACGGGUGAGUAACACGUGGGCAAUCUGCCCUUCACUCUGGGACAAGCCCUGGAAACGGGGUCUAAUACCGGAUAACACCGGCUUCCGCAUGGAAGCUGGUUGAAAGCUCCGGCGGUGAAGGAUGAGCCCGCGGCCUAUCAGCUUGUUGGUGGGGUAAUGGCCCACCAAGGCGACGACGGGUAGCCGGCCUGAGAGGGCGACCGGCCACACUGGGACUGAGACACGGCCCAGACUCCUACGGGAGGCAGCAGUGGGGAAUAUUGCACAAUGGGCGAAAGCCUGAUGCAGCGACGCCGCGUGAGGGAUGACGGCCUUCGGGUUGUAAACCUCUUCAGCAGGGAAGAAGCGAAAGUGACGGUACCUGCAGAAGAAGCGCCGGCUAACUACGUGCCAG
rnacentral:rRNA from 1 species